UACGGAGGAUCCAAGCGUUAUCCGGAUUUAUUGGGUUUAAAGGGUGCGUAGGCGGCCUGUUAAGUCAGAGGUGAAAGACGGUAGCUCAACUAUCGCAGUGCCUUUGAUACUGAUGGGCUUGAAUGGACUAGAGGUAGGCGGAAUGUGACAAGUAGCGGUGAAAUGCAUAGAUAUGUCACAGAACACCGAUUGCGAAGGCAGCUUACUAUGGUCCUAUUGACGCUGAGGCACGAAAGCGUGGGGAUCGAACAGG
rnacentral:rRNA from 1 species